UACGUAGGGGGCGAGCGUUGUCCGGAAUGACUGGGCGUAAAGGGCGUGUAGGCGGCCGAUUAAGUCUGGAGUGAAAGUCCUGCUUUCAAGGUGGGAACUGCUUUGGAUACUGGUUGGCUUGAGUGCGGAAGAGGUAAGUGGAAUUCCCAGUGUAGCGGUGAAAUGCGUAGAGAUUGGGAGGAACACCAGUGGCGAAGGCGACUUACUGGGCCGUAACUGACGCUGAGGCGCGAAAGCGUGGGGAGCGAAC
rnacentral:rRNA from 1 species